GAGAAAGGGAACGCAGACUCUCAGGGAAAAUCCAAAUAAUAAUCUACGCAUGACUGGUGGGAAAAAGUUUGACGGUCUGCAUUCGGCCCCGACGUGAAACGAGUCACUUUGACGUUGGCUGAAAACACAGAAACGUCAAGACGCUGAUUGAGAGCGACAUCAUUUGACGAACAUAACCACUGCACAGCCUUCGCUCAUGAUCGACGCCCUGGAUAUGAUCAUUACACGAGUAGCAACAGCCCGACUUACGAUCGU